UGCCAGCAGCCGCGGUAAAACGAAGAGGGCGAGCGUUUUCCACAAGGACUGGGCGUAAAGCGUGUGUAGGCUGCGCGGAAAGUCAAAUGUGAAAGCCCGGGGCUCAACCUCGGAACUGCAUUCGAUACUCCCGUGCUAGAGUAAUGGAGAGGUAAGUGGAAUUCCUGGUGUAGCAGUGAAAUGCGUGGAUAUCAGGAGGAACAUCAAUGGCGAAGGCAACUUACUGGACAUUUACUGACGCUCAGACACGAAGGCUAGGGUAGCGAAAGGGAUUAGAUA
rnacentral:rRNA from 1 species